UCCCCAUCUCCUCCCUCGUUCUUUCUCCUUCCCGAUCAACCUGGCAAUGGCCAGAAUCCAGCAAAGGGUCACCAGAUUUAGACAAAAAUAAAGAAAAAGCAAAUGAGGAAGAACACUUACCAGGUGGUCGUUCUACCGUGCCGCUGGUCCUCGGUCGUAUUCGCUUUUGGGCCGGAGGCCCUUUCCUCCCCUCCCCUGUUUCUCAGUGGGGCGGGUUCAAGCCCUCCUCUCCCCGCCAAAGACAAGGAGGA
rnacentral:lncRNA from 1 species